UACGAAGGGGGCUAGCGUUGUUCGGAAUUACUGGGCGUAAAGCGCACGUAGGCGGAUUUGCCAGUCAGGGGUGAAAUCCCGGGGCUCAACCUCGGAACUGCCUCUGAUACAGCAAGUCUUGAGUCCGGAAGAGGUGGGUGGAAUUCCUAGUGUAGAGGUGAAAUUCGUAGAUAUUGGGAAGAACACCAGUGGCGAAGGCGGCUAACUGGUCCAGAUCUGACGCUGAGGUGCGAAAGCGUGGGGAGCAAACAGG
rnacentral:rRNA from 1 species